rnacentral:rRNA from 1 species
GACGAACGCUGGCGGCGUGCCUAAUACAUGCAAGUCGAGCGGACCAAACAGGAGCUUGCUCUUGUUUGGUUAGCGGCGGACGGGUGAGUAACACGUGGGUAACCUGCCCGUAAGACCGGGAUAACUCCGGGAAACCGGAGCUAAUACCGGAUAACACCGAAGACCGCAUGGUCUUUGGUUGAAAGGCGGCUUCGGCUGCCACUUACGGAUGGGCCCGCGGCGCAUUAGCUAGUUGGUGAGGUAACGGCUCACCAAGGCGACGAUGCGUAGCCGGCCUGAGAGGGUGACCGGCCACACUGGGACUGAGACACGGCCCAGACUCCUACGGGAGGCAGCAGUAGGGAAUCUUCCGCAAUGGACGAAAGUCUGACGGAGCGACGCCGCGGGAGCGAAGAAGGUCUUCGGAUCGUAAAGCUCGGUUGUUAGGGAAGAAGAAGCGCCGUUCGAACAGGGCGGCGCGGUGACGGUACCUAACGAGAAAGCCCCGGCUAACUACGUG